GUUAUUGCACACGCGCACUUCACGGAGUAGGCGUUCUCAAACUGAAAUAUGCAGAUAUAUGCUAGAACAGGCCAAUAGGAACCCGUGCUUGGUUCUGCCCACUAUGGCUCAUUUGUUUCCAUUGGAAACGGCAGGCUGUGGUCUAUCUGGGUUUAGUUAUAACAAAUCUUUGACCACACAAUACGUUAUCAUAUCCGGUUAAAUAUGUAUCUCUUUUGGCGGGAACUGUACAGUAGUCCACAGUUGGCUGUCUAGUAGGUACUGAAUAUCUUCCGUUUGGUUGAGCUAAAAUCAUUGCACUUUUUCGUCAAGUGAAAAUGUCUCGUGUGCUGAACUGCAUUGUGGCUGUUUGUCCUGAUAUGGGGAUUGGAAAUAACGGGAAUCUACCUUGGCACCCGAAGAGACUCAAUAAUGAAUUUAAGUAUUUCCAGAAGAUGACAAUGACGUCUUCGGUGGAAGGUAACAGUCAGUUUCCAAACAUUUCACAUUUGACGACAUGUUAUUUAUUUUAGCAGAUGGUCUUGUCCAGAGUGACUUCCAGUUAGUGCAUUCAUCUUCAGAUACCGUAGCUAUGUGGGUGGGACUACCACAUAUCAAAGGUAUAAAAAAUUAAUUUUUCGUCAAUAAAGUAGCUUUAUCGGUAGAGUCAGAGCUGGGUAUGUGCGGUGAGUGCUGGUUCAGGUUAUUACAUAUUAUUAUUUGUAUUUUUUACCAAUGCGGUGUAAAUCACAUGAGCUUAAUCCAAACACGGAUACAGACAUUGGCUGAUUCAGUUGUAAACACCGUGACAGUUGUCAACAUUAAACUGUAUUAUUAAUGGCCACUAGGUGACAGUAUAGCACCAUGUGCAAAGUAUCAUGAGAGGAAAUAUUGUCUCGCAAAUAUUAUUUUAAAGGGACAUUCCGCCACUUUUUAACCUCGUAUUCAUCAUCUCCAGCACCAACCCGUUUCUAUGAUCGGUGGUUAAAAACAUAAGAAGAAAGGUCCUUU